rnacentral:rRNA from 1 species
AUUGAACGCUGGCGGAAUGCUUUACACAUGCAAGUCGAACGGCAGCACGGGAGCUUGCUCCUGGUGGCGAGUGGCGAACGGGUGAGUAAUAUAUCGGAACGUAUCCAAUAAUGGGGGAUACAUAAUCGAACGUUUGGCUAAUACCCAACCCGCCCUACGGGGGAAAGAAGGGGAUCUUCGGACCUUGCGUUGUGGGAUCGGCCGAUAUCGGAUUAGCUAGUUGGUGGGGUAAAGGCCUACCAAGGCGACGAUCCGUAGCGGGUCUGAGAGGACGACCAGCCACACUGGAACGGAGACACGGUCCAGACUCCUACGGGAGGCAGCAGUGGGGAAUUUUGGACAAUGGGGGCAACCCUGAUCCAGCCAUUCCGCGUGAGUGAAGAAGGCCUUCGGGUUGUAAAGCUCUUUCGCAAGGGAAGAAACGAUACUGGUGAAUAUCCAGUGUUAAUGACGGUACCCUGAUAAGAAGCACCGGCUAACUACGUGCCAGCCGCCGCGGUAA